rnacentral:rRNA from 1 species
GAUGAACGCUGGCGGCGUGCCUAAUACAUGCAAGUCGAGCGAAGCGGGGACGGGUGAGUAACACGUGGAUAACCUCCUAUAUGACUGUGAUAACUUCGGGAAACCGGAGCUAAACCGGAUACUCAUAGCUGGUUGCUGGUGCUAUUAGCUAGUUGGUAAGGUAACGGCUUACCAAGGCAACGGUCCAUAGCCGACCUGAGAGGGGGACCGGCACCACGGGAACGGAACCACGGCCCGGACUCCACCGGAGGGCAGCAGAAGGGAAUUUUCCGCAUUGGGCGAAAGCCUGACGGAGCAACGCGGCGGAGGGGAUGAAGGUCUUCGGAUCGUAAAACUCUGUUAUUAGGGAAGCGGUACCUAAUCAGAAAGCCACGGCUAACUACGUGCCAGCAGCCGCGGUAAUUC